rnacentral:ncRNA from 1 species
GCACUAUGCUUAAUCCAUGGCAAACUGUGCUAACUCAUGCGCUAGCCCAGACUCCUACGGGAGGCAGCAGUGGGGAAUUUUCCGCAAUGGGCGAAAGCCUGACGGAGCAAUGCCGCGUGGAGGUGGAAGGCCCACGGGUCGUCAACUUCUUUUCUCGGAGAAGAAACAAUGACGGUAUCUGAGGAAUAAGCAUCGGCUAACUCUGUGCCAGCAGCCGCGGUAAGACAGAGGAUGCA